GAACGUGGCGGGGGUGCUAUACAUGCAAGUCGAACGCUGUUGUGGUUCAACUGAUUUGAAGAGCUUGCUCAGAUAUGACGAUGGACAUUGCAAAGAGUGGCGAACGGGUGAGUAACACGUGGGAAACCUACCUCUUAGCAGGGGAUAACAUUUGGAAACAGAUGCUAAUACCGUAUAACAAUGACAACCGCAUGGUUGUUAUUUAAAAGAUGGUUCUGCUAUCACUAAGAGAUGGUCCCGCGGUGCAUUAGCUAGUUGGUAAGGUAAUGGCUUACCAAGGCGAUGAUGCAUAGCCGAGUUGAGAGACUGAUCGGCCACAAUGGGACUGAGACACGGCCCAUACUCCUACGGGAGGCAGCAGUAGGGAAUCUUCCACAAUGGGCGAAAGCCUGAUGGAGCAACGCCGCGUGUGUGAUGAAGGGUUUCGGCUCGUAAAACACUGUUGUAAGAGAAGAAUGACAUUGAGAGUAACUGUUCAAUGUGUGACGGUAUCUUACCAGAAAGGAACGGCUAAAUACGUGCCAGCAGCCGCGGUAAUACGUAUGUUCCAAGCGUUAUCCGGAUUUAUUGGGCGUAAAGCGAGCGCAGACGGUUAUUUAAGUCUGAAGUGAAAGCCCUCAGCUCAACUGAGGAAUUGCUUUGGAAACUGGAUGACUUGAGUGCAGUAGAGGAAAGUGGAACUCCAUGUGUAGCGGUGAAAUGCGUAGAUAUAUGGAAGAACACCAGUGGCGAAGGCGGCUUUCUGGACUGUAACUGACGUUGAGGCUCGAAAGUGUGGGUAGCAAACAGGAUUAGAUACCCUGGUAGUCCACACCGUAAACGAUGAGUGCUAGGUGUUUGAGGGUUUCCGCCCUUAAGUGCCGCAGCUAACGCAUUAAGCACUCCGCCUGGGGAGUACGACCGCAAGGUUGAAACUCAAAGGAAUUGACGGGGACCCGCACAAGCGGUGGAGCAUGUGGUUUAAUUCGAAGCAACGCGAAGAACCUUACCAGGUCUUGACAUCCCUUGACAACUCCAGAGAUGGAGCGUUCCCUUCGGGGACAAGGUGACAGGUGGUGCAUGGUUGUCGUCAGCUCGUGUCGUGAGAUGUUGGGUUAAGUCCCGCAACGAGCGCAACCCUUAUUACUAGUUGCCAGCAUUCAGUUGGGCACUCUAGUGAGACUGCCGGUGACAAACCGGAGGAAGGUGGGGAUGACGUCAAAUCAUCAUGCCCCUUAUGACCUGGGCUACACACGUGCUACAAUGGCGUAUACAACGAGUUGCCAACCCGCGAGGGUGAGCUAAUCUCUUAAAGUACGUCUCAGUUCGGAUUGUAGGCUGCAACUCGCCUACAUGAAGUCGGAAUCGCUAGUAAUCGCGGAUCAGCACGCCGCGGUGAAUACGUUCCCGGGUCUUGUACACACCGCCCGUCACACCAUGAGAGUUUGUAACACCCAAAGCCGGUGGGGUAACCUUCGGGAGCCAGCCGUCUAAGGUGACAGAGUGG
rnacentral:rRNA from 1 species